AGUGAACGCUGGCGGUAGGCCUAACACAUGCAAGUCGAACGGCAGCACAGUAAGAGCUUGCUCUUACGGGUGGCGAGUGGCGGACGGGUGAGGAAUACAUCGGAAUCUACUUUUUCGUGGGGGAUAACGUAGGGAAACUUACGCUAAUACCGCAUACGACCUACGGGUGAAAGCAUGGGAUCUUCGGACCUUGCGCGAUUGAAUGAGCCGAUGUCGGAUUAGCUAGUUGGCGGGGUAAAGGCCCACCAAGGCGACGAUCCGUAGCUGGUCUGAGAGGAUGAUCAGCCACACUGGAACUGAGACACGGUCCAGACUCCUAUGGGAGGCAGCAGUGGGGAAUAUUGGAGAAUGGGCGCAAGCCUGAUCCAGCCAUACCGCGUGGGUGAAGAAGGCCUUCGGGUUGUAAAGCCCUUUUGUUGGGAAAGAAAAGCAGCAGGUUAAUACCCCGCUGUUCUGACGGUACCCAAAGAAUAAGCACCGGCUAACUUCGUG
rnacentral:rRNA from 1 species